UAUAUAGGUCCGAUAAUGUCUUUGUCAGAGACAUUCCUGUUAUCAUUCAUCCAAUCUCAUAAAUGUAUACAUAUAAUGGAAAACAGGAAACACCAGAAACAUGUUCAAUUAUCGAGCUCAGAGUGUCAAGCACAAUAUUAUCAUUAAACAAAUUCUCAUAAAAAAAAUUAAAAAAUGACAAUCAUCAUGGACUACGACCAAGACCCAUU
rnacentral:lncRNA from 1 species